UUGUUUUUAUUUUGUAGGUAUUUUCUUAAUCAUUUUUGUUGACAUCAUUUGUUAUUUUCUUUAGCUUCUCAUUUUUAUAAUUCUUUUAACCAUACCUUCAACUCUCCCAAAAAAAAAUAACACUUCUUUAACACAAAAAAAACACUUCUUUAGCUUUUAAAUUUCAUAAAUAUUUUAACUCUCCCCCCCCCCCCCAAAAAAAUACACUUCUCUAACUUCUUAAUUUCACAAUCUUCUAACCAUAGUUUCAACCCCCAACCAAAAAAAAAAGUUCAUUAGCUUCUCAAUUUCACAACCCU
rnacentral:lncRNA from 1 species